rnacentral:tRNA from 1 species
GGAGAAAUAGCUCAGUUGGUAGAGCAUCGGACUGAAAAUCCGUGUGUCGGCGGUUCGAGUCCGCCUUUUUCCA